rnacentral:lncRNA from 1 species
CCCUGCAACCUCCACCUCCUGGGUUCAAGUGAUUCUCCUGCCUCAGUCUCCUGAGUAGCUGGGAUUACAGGUGCCCUCCACCACACCUGGCUAAUUUUGUAUUUUUAGUAGAGACGGGGUUUCACCAUGUUGGCCAGGCUGAUCUUGAACUCCUGAUCUCAGGUGAUCCACCUGCCUCAGCCUCCCAAAGUGCUGGGAUCACAAGUGUGAGCCACCGUGCCUGGCCUAUUUAUUUAUUUACUUAUUUAUUUAGAGCCGGAGUCUCACUCUGUUGCCCAGGCUGGUAUGCAGUGGCGUGAUCUCAGCUCACUGCAACCUUCACCUCCUGGGUUCAAGCGAUUCUCGUGCCUCAGCCUCCUGAGUAGCUGGGAUUACAGGCGCCCGCCAUCACGCCUGGCUGAUUUUUGUAUUUUUAGUAGAGACGGGGUUUCACCACAUUGGCCAAACUGGUCUCAAACACCUGACCUCAGGUGAUCCACCCACUUUGGUCUCCCAAAGUGCUGGGAUUACAGGCGUGAGCCACCACACCCAGCCUAUAUUUUAAAAUGGUUAGAAUGAUAAAGCUUAUGUGUAUUUUACACACUCAGGUUUCCUUCAAAAAAAGGAAACUUCUGGGGCUAAAAUGUUCAGCUUGGGUUCCCUGUGAGCCACAGCCCUGCAGAACCUCCCAGCCCCGUGGGCACCAACCCCGCCCCUUUCAGUUCCGCAUCCUGCCCAGGCCCUGACUGAGUUGAAGUCCAGUGAGUGGCAGGAGGGGCAAGGGUGGGGGCUCACUGGGUUGGAGGGGGCACGUCUCUGGCACCCCCUGGGGACCACCUUUUCCAGUGGGUGCUUCAGGGUCCAAAUGCAGAACUUCCUUCCUCUCAGCAAAGAAAGGGUGUCCCUCCAGUUACACCCUGACUCAUGCUGACUGCUGGUCCUGGAGCGUGAACCUGACCAUCACCCACAGGCUUCCGCCAGCCCAGCCGCCCAGGGUGGUCUCGUCUGACACGAGGGUGCCUCCCUCGGGCUCUGCAGGCUGUCCCGUGCCAGGCCGCCCAUCCACCCGGAGAAGAUAUUGGACGCGUCUGACACGAGGGUGCCUCCCUCGGGCUCUGCAGGCUGUCCCGUGCCAGGCCGCCCAUCCACCCAGAGAAGAUGUUGGAUGGGGCGCCCUGAGGGGAACAAGCCUGUCUCUAGGCCUCAGUGCCUGGAAGAUUUUCCUAUUUAAAAGGACAAGCCAUGAUAGGGGAGAGUGUCCUGCACAGAGCUGGGGUGACAGUACCCACCUCAUCACACCCGACGUGCAGCCGCUGGGCGCCUGGGUGUAGCUCCAGGACCUGGUCGAUCAUGGCGCCCACCAGCGCCAGGGACUCCGCUUCGUGGGGGUUCAGGGUGCAGGGGAAGGAGCCCACCUCCCGCAGGUGGGCGAAGGCCGUGUGCUUCAGCACAAACUACGGAGAGACAGAGAAGUUCGCGUUGGGGGUGGAGGAGCUGGACUGAUCUCCUUCUGCCCACCUGGGGCUUCUGUUUCAAAUCUACAGAUAAUACAAAAAAAUUAGGCCAGGCAGAGAGUCUCAGUCCUGUAAUCCCAGCACCUUGUGGGGGCUGAGGUAGGUAGAAUGUUUGAACUCAGGAAUUUGAGACCAGCCUGGACAACUGGUGAAACCCCAUGGAAUCUCGCUUUGUUGCCCAGGCUGGAGUGCAGUGGCACAAUCUCGGCUCACUGCAACCUCUGCCUCCCGGGUUCAAGUGAUCCUCCCAGCUCAGCCUUCCCAGUAGCUGGGAUUACAGGCACGUGCCACCACGCCUGGCUAAUUUUUGUAUUUUUAGUAGAGAUGGCGUUUCGCUAUGUUGGCCAGGCUGGUCUUGAACUCCUGACCACGAGUGAUUUGCCUUCCUUGGCCUCCCAAAGUGCUGGGAUUACAGGCGUGAACCACCAUGCCCAGACUAAAUAUAUAUUUUAUAUAUAUGUAUAUGUAUUUUUUUUUUUUUGAGAUGGAGUCUUGCUCUGCCGCUCCAGCCUGGGUGACAGAGCGAGUCUGUGACUCAAGACAAAUAAUUUGGAUGUUCAAGGGUUCUGGAGAAAGAAUAAAAAUACCAAACUAAAAAUGGAUCAUAG